GAUGAAGAACGUAGUGAAAUGCGAUAAGUAAUGUGAAUUGCAGAAUUCAGUGAAUCAUCGAAUCUUUGAACGCACAUUGCGCCCAUUAGUAUUCUAGUGGGCAUGCCUGUUCGAGCGUCAUUAAGUCCACUUAAGCCCUGCUUAGUGUUGGGAGACUGCUCCAGCGGUGCUACCCUGUAGCUACCCUGCAGCUCCUCAAAGACAGCGGCGGAGUUGUGGUAUCCUCUGAGCUUAGUAACUUGUUCUAGCUUUCGAGUACACCACUUCCCCUGCCGUAAAACCCUUAAUUUUUAAUGGUUGACCUCGGAUCAGGUAGGAAUACCCGCUGAACUUAAGCAUAUCAUAAGCGGAGGA
rnacentral:misc_RNA from 1 species